GUUAUAUGGUCAAGUGAAGAAGCGCAUACGGUGGAUGCCUUGGCAGUCAGAGGCGAUGAAAGACGUGGUAGCCUGCGAAAAGCUUCGGGGAGUCGGCAAACAGACUUUGAUCCGGAGAUGUCUGAAUGGGGGAACCCAGCCAUCAUAAGAUGGUUAUCACACACUGAAUACAUAGGUGUGUGAGGCGAACCAGGGGAACUGAAACAUCUAAGUACCCUGAGGAAAAGAAAUCAACCGAGAUUCCCUUAGUAGUGGCGAGCGAACGGGGACUAGCCCUUAAGCUUCUUUGAUUUUAGCGGAACGCUCUGGAAAGUGCGGCCAUAGUGGGUGAUAGCCCUGUACGCGAAAGGAUCUUAGAAGUGAAAUCGAGUAGGACGGAGCACGAGAAACUUUGUCUGAACAUGGGGGGACCAUCCUCCAAGGCUAAAUACUACUGACUGACCGAUAGUGAACCAGUACCGUGAGGGAAAGGCGAAAAGAACCCCGGAGAGGGGAGUGAAAUAGAACCUGAAACCGUAUGCGUACAAGCAGUGGGAGCCUACUUUGUUAGGUGACUGCGUACCUUUUGUAUAAUGGGUCAGCGACUUAUUUUCAGUGGCGAGCUUAACCGAAUAGGGGAGGCGUAGCGAAAGCGAGUCUUAAUAGGGCGUCUAGUCGCUGGGAAUAGACCCGAAACCGGGCGAUCUAUCCAUGGGCAGGUUGAAGGUUAGGUAACACUGACUGGAGGACCGAACCGACUACCGUUGAAAAGUUAGCGGAUGACCUGUGGAUCGGAGUGAAAGGCUAAUCAAGCUCGGAGAUAGCUGGUUCUCCUCGAAAGCUAUUUAGGUAGCGCCUCGUGUAUCACUGCUGGGGGUAGAGCACUGUUUCGGCUAGGGGGUCAUCCCGACUUACCAAACCGAUGCAAACUCCGAAUACCAGCAAGUGUCAGCACGGGAGACACACGGCGGGUGCUAACGUCCGUCGUGAAAAGGGAAACAACCCAGACCGUCAGCUAAGGUCCCAAA
rnacentral:rRNA from 1 species